rnacentral:rRNA from 1 species
UACAGAGGGUGCGAGCGUUAAUCGGAAUUACUGGGCGUAAAGCGUGCGUAGACGGUUAUUUAAGUCGGGUGUGAAAGCCCCGGGCUCAACCUGGGAAUUGCAUUCGAGACUGAAUAGCUAGGGUACGGUAGAGGGAAGCGGAAUUUCCGGUGUAGCGGUGAAAUGCGUAGAUAUCGAGAGGAACACCUGCGGCGAAGGCGGGGUUGCUGGGCUGAUACUGACGCUGAGGCGCGAAAGCCAGGGGAGCGAACGGG